UCCUCUGCGGGCCCAUCUCUCCUCUAGCUAGCCAGCCAGCCAGCAAACCUCCUCUCCCUUCGUCGUCGUCUCGUCGUCCCCCCACGCCUUUUUUUCAGACCUGCUCAUUCCCGGCGCAUUUUCCGCGGAGCCUGUUUACAAAAACAGCGUUUCUAUGCGCUGCUAAGGAGAAUGCGCGCGCGCGCCGACUAGACCCCCUCGCUGGCGUCCACGUGUACGACGCAAACGUCUGAAAGGAGCGAGCCUCCGCGUGGAAGUCCGCGCCUAUUCGGCGUGGUCCCGCUCCCUGCUGCUCUCUUGUUCUCCUCAAAGCUCUCUCUUUUUCCUGCUUUCCUCCCUCUCUGCGCUUCCUCCUCCCCUGAAAAAUCAAAACCACUGAAAGAGAAGAGGGGCGCUAUUUUGGAGACGCGUCCACCGCGCCAUUGCUGAAAAGCGUUUCGUGAAAAAAGGCGUCUGAAAGGAGCGAGAGGAAGAAAAACCCCGAAGGAGGCUCGAGGGACUGGUUGGCCAUCGCUGCCCUCCAGACACCUGUGAAAACAAAGCGGGAGUCACCCUGCGAGCUCUGGAGGAGCCCAGGAAAGAGGGGAGCGUCGCCAGGAAGCCAAGAAGCCCGCGGUGGCUCCUCCAGAUGUUUGUGGACCGCAGCGCCGUAUCAGGCCCGGCUGGUCAGAGAGGACGGGGAGAAGUGGAGGCUAACAACAUCUGAAGGUCCACAGGCUCCACGGCCUUGUAGUGAAAGAUGCGCGUUUUCAGCUCUUCCCAAAACUCCCCGCCGUAACGCCAUCCCCACGCAUUCCGCGCGUCGCGUUUUGCAGUCAAACCACAAGGAAACAGCUCAUGGGAGAGGAUAGGUUUCUUCCAGAAAGCCAGGGCGUGUACAAGUAGGACUAGGACCUGGGAGAAAUCAGGUUUCCUAUCCCACUCUUCCAUGCAGCUGAGCUUGUGCCAGCCUCUGCCUCUCAGCCUAACCUACCACACAGUGUUGUUGUGGGGAUUAAAUGAGGAGGGGAACGAACCACCCACGCCACCUUGAGCUCCUUGAAGAAAAUGAUGGGCUAUAAAGAUAAUUAAUAAAUGCAAUAAAUCCCUGCAUUGCAGGGGGUUGGACUAGAUGACCCUUGGUGUCCCUCCCAACUCUAAGAUGAUAGGAAAUAUAUGUGUGUGAGAGUGGAUGAAUGGUUGUGCCCCCCUGUAUGUGUUUCAGCGGCGCAAAGGCAGGAAAUGAGCGGCUGCUCUGGUUGCAGUCCUCCUGUUCAGACACGUGUUCAGGAACGAACGUCUGAACGAAGUGCGGGAGCCUUCAGGAGCACCGGCUGCCACGCACUCUGGGAUACAGAAGGAAGGCUCCCUCGUCGCCACUUAUACUAACCGGGCUGGAUCCGCGCGUCCUCUGCCUGCCGGAACCGGAGUGAAAACAGGAGCCAGUCCAGAUCAAAGGGAGGCUGGAGACGAGCUCCAGAAAACGGGGACGCGGAGACUUGUAGCCCAGAGGUUUAAAUCGUCGUGAAAAUCAGCCAAGGGCAGCACCAGCGCUCCCGCCUCCUCCUCCUCCUGCGCCACUAAUGUACAUCCUGGAUGCUGAAGUCUGUCUAAGCUAAAAAGAAUUUCCUUUUUGGAGGAGAAAAAGCCUCCAGCUCCUUCUGUUCAGAGGAAAGUGCCAGUGAUGGUAAUGCGGGGUGACACUAAAUAAACAAACUCUGAAAAGAAUUCCAAACCCGGCGGCAACCCCCUUGGCAUAGUAAGUGGGUUGUACGGAUCUUUUCUACUUUCCUCAAGCACAAUUUGCACAACAAGAAAAGAAGAGAGCCGCUCUCGGUAACAUAAACCUCUCGGCUUGGAAAAGGAAGAGGGAGAAUAAGGAGGAAUAAGCUAGAGGCGGAGAGCGGGAGACGCGAAAGAACAAUCGCCGGGUGCCCCUCUUUCCGGGUCAUUACGGUACUGCUGGUCUCCAAUCAAUCCUAAUGCGAUGGCAAUUGGAGUCCCCGAUGAACGCAUCUCAGGUUUCGUGUAAUGGCUCUACCACAUUUUCCUGGACCUCCUUCUUUAACCUGAGAUGCCAGGGGGACGAGUCUCUUUUCAGC